rnacentral:rRNA from 1 species
AACAACAGGGAUUACCUCAGUAACGGCGAGUGAAGCGGUAACAGCUCAAAUUUGAAAUCUGGCUCUUUCAGGGUCCGAGUUGUAAUUUGUAGAAGAUGUUUCGGGUGUGGCUCCGGUCUAAGUUCCUUGGAACAGGACGUCGUANAGGGUGAGAAUCCCGUAUGUGACUGGCUGCCUCCGCCCAUGUGAAACUCUUUCGACGAGUCGAGUUGUUUGGGAAUGCAGCUCAAAAUGGGUGGUAAAUUUCAUCUAAAGCUAAAUAUUGGCCAGAGACCGAUAGCGCACAAGUAGAGUGAUCGAAAGAUGAAAAGCACUUUGGAAAGAGAGUUAAACAGUACGUGAAAUUGUUGAAAGGGAAGCGCUUGCAAUCAGACUUGCGCGCGGCCGAUCAUCCGGGGUUCUCCCCGGUGCACUCGGUCGCGUUCAGGCCAGCAUCGGUUUGGGUGGUGGGAUAAAGGCCUUGGGAAUGUANCUUCUUUCGGGGAGUGUUAUAGCCCUCGGUGCAAUGCCGCCUAUCCAGACCNAGGACCGCGCUUCGGCUAGGAUGCUGGCGUAAUGGUUGUAAGCGACCCGUCUUGAAACACGGACCAAGGAGUCUAACACUUAUGCGAGUAUUUGGGUGUCAAACCCAUAUGCGUAAUGAAAGUGAACGGAGGUGAGGACCCUUAAGGGUGCACCAUCGACCGGUCCUGAUGUCUUCGGAUGGAUCUGAGUAAGAGCAUAAUUGUUAGGACCCGAAAGAAGGUGAACUAUGCCUGAAUAGGGUGAAGCCAGAGGAAACUCUGGUG